CACUUGAAUGUAAAUAAUAAUUUUCCUCAGUUUUUGUUUCAUAAAGAUGUAAUGUUGAUAUGUGCGCGAAAGUGCAUGAAAUGCAUCUGCGGGUAAUUUCAUUCUCACUAAAAAAAAAACAAAAAAAAAAACAGGGUUUGAUCAGCAUAUUAACUCCAAACAGCUUUGAUUAUUUUUAAGGUGAUACAGAUUUGUAUAGUAUAUAAGUAGCUGCAUAAAGGUGAGCAGCGUAAUUAUGGAGCGCUUUGGAUCUGAUGGAGAACAUCGCCAGUGGAAGGAUUCAGGAGUCCUUCCACAGCAGAUCAGAGACUAUCCUGAUCUACUGGGAAAUGUUGAUGAAGGUUUUUUAGAGCUUAGAUUGCCCAGACUGAUCAUCACGGAGCUUUGAGCAAAACUUAAAGAAGGAGCCGUGCGGUACCGGUACCACUGCAGUCAUCCUUCAGUCGAGCCGCCCGCUUUGUGAAUGCGCCUUUAUGGACAGAAAGCAUCUCUAUUCUGUAAAUG